UCUCAUUGGUAGUAUCAGCUUCUCGCCAAACGGAGUCUUUGCUUGUCCACCGCUACGCCGAAAGGAACCGGGAAUACAAGCGACUGCCUCCAUGAUGUAAAGAUCUGCAGUGAAGUAACAAAGCUAGAGUGAAGUGAAAAAAAAAAAAACAGCAGAGCACGGAUACAUAUUAGCAGAGCGCGGUGUACCACCAUAUGGCGUGGACCAUAUCAUGGUGCAUUAUGGGAUAAUGGAGGACUUUUAUGCUUUCUGCAGUUUUGGACAAAGCAGUCGACGGACACAGAUCAAACGGAGUCCUUUUUCGCCUGCAAUAGCGGCCUGGGACGUAUGCUGAUCAUUUUGCCCGCAAAACUACCUGCUGGCAUUAUUUUUUAUAUUAAGUCAUACCUAUAUCUUAACCUCAUUUUCUCCAAUUGAAUGUUUUUUUUUGUUUUUUUUUAACAAUAUAAAGGUAGGCCUGCACCACAACCGGGAGAGGAUUUGAUCUCUUUGGACCCUGUGAGAUGCUUGGGAUUUUUUUUAAUUUCCAUUUUUGGCCAAACUUGUCACCCCAGUACAGUUUUUAGUCACACAACACAGGCCUCACAGGCUGCAGAAUAAUUUGAUAUUUAUAAUAACAGCUUUCAGGGAAAGGUUCCAGCUGUCUGCCCGUUUCCUACAGUAGAGUGAAUGCAGCUGGUGGACGGGCACACACACACAUGCGCACACACACACACAGAGACGAGCGGGUUGUGUCUCUCCGUGUUCACAGCGGACCUUGAUUUAAUGUCUUACAAUUAAGGCACGCGGUGAAUGCCAAGAGAUGAUCCCUCUUUCUUCAGAUGUCUACAAAACCAAGAAACACAGCACCUCUUUUUACUGUUGACAUUUUGAAAAACACUCUUGGUGUCGCUCUCACAGUGAAGGUUUGCUUCUGUCGUUUCAAACUGUAACGUAUUAAUUAUGUACUGUUUCCUCCCCCCUUCAAGAAAAUAAAACAAAUACACACAAUGAU